UUUAGUUACUGGUUAACCUUCAACCCUGUAUAUACAAACACAGCUUGAUCUCUGACCAUUGUUGAGAACUGGAAGUUUCACGGCAUUAUUUAACCAACUCUGUUUGCUUUAAAGGAUUAUCUCCCUCCCUCCCUUCCUCCCUCCCUCCGGCACCCAGACUUUGCUGAAAGCUUUGCUUGCGGCAGCCUGCGUGACCUUUUUGCCUUGCUUAAAAUGCAACCUGGAUUGAUUCAAGCGGAUGUCAUCCAGCGCCCAGCACAUCGCAGGACCAAGCUGUGGGCAUUUCCACAGCUUCAUCUCUACAGCAGCGCUUUCUUGUACUGCACUGCUAUUUAAGUGUUCCUGAUCGACGUCGAGGCAGCAAAUAUAUAGUCACUUAAACGCAACUGUAUAGUUUAAUCUUGGCAGGGGACUGACCAGAAAAACCCAAACCAACAAAACAAGGCAAGUUUCUCUUUUCUCCCACACUUAAACAAACUUAGUCAAUUUCCAGACAAAUGUUGCAAUAAACUGUGGUGUUUUACACAUGCAACCUUAACUCAUGCUUCAGAGCCGGUAUGGGACAGGGAAAAAGAAAACUAUCUGAUUCUAAAAGCCUUCUCUUUUUGUGUUAAUUUCCUGGCUUAAUUCCUCCCUCUUAACUGAAAAAAGCAGAGGGCUUCUGGUUUUUCACAGCUGCAGAUAUUACGGAUACUACCUUUUCUUGGUGGUUUCCUUUCAUCUUAUUUCACAGAGUUUUCAAUCUCACAAUGGUACAAUCCUUUAUCUUACUUUGUCAAGCUCCUUUUAAACUGCAAAUGAUAAAGCAUAAAAUUGCAGCAGUAAUGUCUUUGUAUACCAAAAUAUUUUUAUUUACAUUCUGUUUGGCAGUACCUCAAAAGCCUUUUGUUUUUGAAACUGUGCAUUGUAUUGCUGGCUACCAGCAUUCUCCUGUGGCCGCAAUGCCUUUUUUCGCCUAACUUUGUAUCCCACCGGCACCAUUUACUCAAGACAAUGUACAGCAACAUACGCCUCCUUGAACUAACAUCCCAAUUUUAUUUUCAUUUAAAUUAUAAUAAAUAGGAGACCCGGAAACUAAAUGCAAAAGUUCCCUGCUCCAACCUCUGCUAGAAAAAUUAGUAUUUAAGUUUAUACCUCUUUUCUUACUAAUUUCUGUGGAAUCCUAGCUAUCCAUAUAAAUAUGUUUUUUCUUAUUAUUCAUGGUAUCAUAAGUUAAGUGAUAAUCAUCAAUGUCAUGUUCUUUGGAGAUCAGUUGUGUAUAAUACCCAUUUAAGAGAUCUUCCAGACACUGGUAACCUUGAAUAUUUUUAAGCCCCGUUAGCCAUAUUGGUGCUGUCUACUGAUGUUAUUUCAAAGCGAUGCCCUCCAAAACUGUAUCGAACAUGUUUCUCUAAUGAUGUAAAAUGUUUUCCACUUUAAAAUGUUUUUACAAGUGGCAAUAUGCUAACUCUAUAACUGCUCUAAUAUUAUAACCAUUUGCUAUUAAUCUUCCUUAAUAGUAAUUUUUUUUUUCCUCCCUCUCUAGUGUCUGAAAAUCUGAACAGUGCCUAGGGAACUGUAAAAAUAAGAGAUGGGCCAAUGUAAAACCCUAGAACCUGACAGAUUCCAGAUUUGGUUUCAAUCCAAAUUCUACAUAUGAGCAUGGUAGCUGUGGCCAAUAUCUAUUAAAAAUAUGAAAUGCACGUACAGUGUAGGUUUGCAAUUGUUAAAAUACCAGGUGGAAUCCUGGAGCAGUUCUACUCCAACAAAACCGCUUCGGAUUUUAUUGGCAAGUUCUACCUGAUAACGAACACAGGAUCUGGCCUAAAAAUUUGUUUUCUGUCAGUUUUAGAGAUGAUCCAGCCCCAACCUUCUUUGUAAUGUUUGUGUCACUGCACUUAAUUAAUAAAAAGUAGGUCCUUUCCAUGAUUUUAGCUUUCUAGUACAACUCCUUUGCAGCUGUUCAGUACAACAAAAUAGGUCAUGUCUGAUUAAUUAGGGAUUCCUUCCCAAAAUAAAUUAAAUAACAUCAGUUUAAAGCCCCACCUGGAAAUCUUGAAAAGCAGAAUGUUAUGUUGGGCUCCUGCGUAAACAGGCACACUUUGACUCUGGCUUUGUCCCUUGAGGAAAGAAAGAUUAAUCAUGGGGAGUGAAACAACAGAAACUAAGGGUGUUAGGACUAUACUUUUGCUCUCUCAUUACUCAGCAGCAACUGCAUUUUAUCUGCAUACUUGAAUCUUAACAGCAUCUGACUAAAAUGCCAAGCUGUAACAUAUCAAAAUUCAACAGGGUCUGACCUAUUCUGUCAUUUCUGCUUAUUCACCAGUAAAUGAAGGCAAGCUUUCUCCUCCGUAAAGAGUUUCUGUCAAUAGGCACCUCUUAGCUGAGUUGCGGUCUCCCCAAGGUUCACAAAAAGCAGAAGAGAUGGAAGCCACCCAGCUGCUAGAAAAACAGAUACCACACGACCUGAUGACGGAUGUUGGCAACAGUUAAUUUCCACAACUUUUAUCUCAGUUCUGCCAAUCAGUAAAACAUCUCACAGCUUGGCAACGCUGUAGGUUCUCAUGAGAAGAACACUAUAUACACAAUAGCUACUAGUAGUUCCGUUUCAAGAAGUAUUAACUUAUUAUAACGUGGAUGCCAAUAACAGCUUCAGAAGAUUGAUAUUUAAAAUCAUUAAAGCACCACUGUAAAUGAGUAAAGCAUGUAAGACGGUCUCAGAAGUCUGAAGUCAGCAAGGAAAUUUGUCGUUACCUCUUGCUGUGUCACAUCUACUUGAAAACUCUGUUGAAAUUUCUGAAAUAAAGAUGAUCAAUACCA